rnacentral:rRNA from 1 species
GGGUUGUGAGGUUAAGCGACUAAGCGUACACGGUGGAUGCCCUGGCAGUCAGAGGCGAUGAAGGACGUGCUAAUCUGCGAUAAGCGUCGGUAAGGUGAUAUGAACCGUUAUAACCGGCGAUUUCCGAAUGGGGAAACCCAGUGUGAUUCGUCACACUAUCAUUACGUGAAUACAUAGCGUAAUGAAGCGAACCGGGGGAACUGAAACAUCUAAGUACCCCGAGGAAAAGAAAUCAACCGAGAUUCCCCCAGUAGCGGCGAGCGAACGGGGAGCAGCCCAGAGUCUGAAUCAGCUUGUGUGUUAGUGGAACGGUCUGGAAAGUCCGACGGUACAGGGUGAUAGUCCCGUACACCAAAAUGCACAGGUUGUGAACUCGAAGAGUAGGGCGGGACACGUGGUAUCCUGUCUGAAUAUGGGGGGACCAUCCUCCAAGGCUAAAUACUCCUGACUGACCGAUAGUGAACCAGUACCGUGAGGGAAAGGCGAAAAGAACCCCGGCGAGGGGAGUGAAAAAGAACCUGAAACCGUGUACGUACAAGCAGUGGGAGCCUCUUUAUGGGGUGACUGCGUACCUUUUGUAUAAUGGGUCAGCGACUUAUAUUCUGUAGCAAGGUUAACCGUAUAGGGGAGCCGAAGGGAAACCGAGUCUUAACUGGGCGUUAAGUUGCAGGGUAUAGACCCGAAACCCGGUGAUCUAGCCAUGGGCAGGUUGAAGGUUGGGUAACACUAACUGGAGGACCGAACCGACUAAUGUUGAAAAAUUAGCGGAUGACUUGUGGCUGGGGGUGAAAGGCCAAUCAAACCGGGAGAUAGCUGGUUCUCCCCGAAAGCUAUUUAGGUAGCGCCUCGUGAAUUCAUCUUCGGGGGUAGAGCACUGUUUCGGCUAGGGGGUCAUCCCGACUUACCAACCCGAUGCAAACUGCGAAUACCGAAGAAUGUUAUCACGGGAGACACACGGCGGGUGCUAACGUCCGUCGUGAAGAGGGAAACAACCCAGACCGCCAGCUAAGGUCCCAAAGUCAUGGUUAAGUGGGAAACGAUGUGGGAAGGCACAGACAGCCAGGAUGUUGGCUUAGAAGCAGCCAUCAUUUAAAGAAAGCGUAAUAGCUCACUGGUCGAGUCGGCCUGCGCGGAAGAUGUAACGGGGCUAAACCAUGCACCGAAGCUGCGGCAGCGACACUAUGUGUUGUUGGGUAGGGGAGCGUUCUGUAAGCCGUUGAAGGUGUACUGUGAGGUAUGCUGGAGGUAUCAGAAGUGCGAAUGCUGACAUAAGUAACGAUAAUGCGGGUGAAAAACCCGCACGCCGGAAGACCAAGGGUUCCUGUCCAACGUUAAUCGGGGCAGGGUGAGUCGACCCCUAAGGCGAGGCCGAAAGGCGUAGUCGAUGGGAAACAGGUUAAUAUUCCUGUACUUGGUGUUACUGCGAAGGGGGGACGGAGAAGGCUAUGUUAGCCGGGCGACGGUUGUCCCGGUUUAAGCAUGUAGGCGGAGGUUCCAGGUAAAUCCGGUACCUUUUAACGCUGAGGUGUGAUGACGAGGCACUACGGUGCUGAAGUAACAAAUGCCCUGCUUCCAGGAAAAGCCUCUAAGCAUCAGGUAACACGAAAUCGUACCCCAAACCGACACAGGUGGUCAGGUAGAGAAUACCAAGGCGCUUGAGAGAACUCGGGUGAAGGAACUAGGCAAAAUGGUGCCGUAACUUCGGGAGAAGGCACGCUGAUAUGUAGGUGAAGUGAUUUACUCAUGGAGCUGAAAUCAGUCGAAGAUACCAGCUGGCUGCAACUGUUUAUUAAAAACACAGCACUGUGCAAACACGAAAGUGGACGUAUACGGUGUGACGCCUGCCCGGUGCCGGAAGGUUAAUUGAUGGGGUUAUCCGUAAGGAGAAGCUCUUGAUCGAAGCCCCGGUAAACGGCGGCCGUAACUAUAACGGUCCUAAGGUAGCGAAAUUCCUUGUCGGGUAAGUUCCGACCUGCACGAAUGGCGUAAUGAUGGCCAGGCUGUCUCCACCCGAGACUCAGUGAAAUUGAACUCGCUGUGAAGAUGCAGUGUACCCGCGGCAAGACGGAAAGACCCCGUGAACCUUUACUAUAGCUUGACACUGAACACUGGUCCUUGAUGUGUAGGAUAGGUGGGAGGCUUUGAAGUGUGGACGCCAGUCUGCAUGGAGCCAUCCUUGAAAUACCACCCUUUAAUGGCUGGUGUUCUAACGUGGACCCGUAAUCCGGGUUGCGGACAGUGUCUGGUGGGUAGUUUGACUGGGGCGGUCUCCUCCUAAAGAGUAACGGAGGAGCACGAAGGUUAGCUAAUCCUGGUCGGACAUCAGGAGGUUAGUGCAAAGGCAUAAGCUAGCUUGACUGCGAGAGUGACGGCUCGAGCAGGUGCGAAAGCAGGUCUUAGUGAUCCGGUGGUUCUGAAUGGAAGGGCCAUCGCUCAACGGAUAAAAGGUACUCCGGGGAUAACAGGCUGAUACCGCCCAAGAGUUCAUAUCGACGGCGGUGUUUGGCACCUCGAUGUCGGCUCAUCACAUCCUGGGGCUGAAGUAGGUCCCAAGGGUAUGGCUGUUCGCCAUUUAAAGUGGUACGCGAGCUGGGUUUAGAACGUCGUGAGACAGUUCGGUCCCUAUCUGCCGUGGGCGCUGGAGAAUUGAGGGGGGCUGCUCCUAGUACGAGAGGACCGGAGUGGACGCAUCACUGGUGUUCGGGUUGUCAUGCCAAUGGCAUUGCCCGGUAGCUAAAUGCGGAAGAGAUAAGUGCUGAAAGCAUCUAAGCACGAAACUUGCCCCGAGAUGAGUUCUCCCUGAGACUAUAAGUCUCCUGAAGGAACGUUGAAGACGACGACGUUGAUAGGUCGGGUGUGUAAGCGUAGCGAUACGUUGAGCUAACCGAUACUAAUGAACCGUGAGGCUUAACCUUACAACGCCGAAG